UUUUUUUUUAAAUAAAAAUACAAACAUUCAUACACAUUCUCUCCCCUCUGCCUGGGAUUCACUCAUCAUUCACAUAUUCAUCUGUUCACUAAAGGGAAAUGUAUUCUAGCUACCCACCUGCCGUGGUAAGGCUCCCGCCCUGAAGGAGAGCCGUGAGGAAAACAGAUACAAAAAAAGAGUCCACUUCUUAAAGUUAAUGGAGCAACUUCACACGCUUCAUCAUGUUUCAAAGGAAGCUACUUUCACCUUGUAUUUACAAAUGCCCUCUGCAUCGUGAUGAAUCCGAACCUGACAUUCCCUGAGCUCUGCCUUAGCCCUGGGCAGCGUGCCUGCUCUAGAAAAGGCAGGCAGGAAAGCCCUGCUUCCUCUUGCACGUCCAGCCUCCUUGCCGCAAGUAACCUAGGCAGCCUGACAUCUUCCUAGCUCUCUCUUCCUCCUUCUGCCAGUGGGUCUGUAAAGAACGUCACCAGCUGUGCCCAGGUAGCUGGCUACUUAAGGGGACAUGGCAUUCACCCUGCAGGUCCUGCCAUCUCCUCCUCUCUUUCAAGAGCCCCUGAGUAUUUAAGCCGUGAGGCAGACAUUGUGAUGAAAGGGAGGACAGAUUCAGCUCUGAAAGGAAACCAUGUUUUCCUAUCAUGCUGUUAUCAGAGAGCCUUGCCUUGUUGGGAAGCAGGGUUUUGUCCAUCCCUUAUUAAAGGAUUACUUUCCCAUUUCUCUACUGGCCUUGAGUUAGCGCUCCACUGGUUCUAACAGCAUGGUCUGUCUGUUCAAGGAGUGGUGAGAAAAUCCAUGACACUGCAGAUUCAGUAAGGUCUACUAGGUGGAAGUACUGGACAGGCAGGUUCCAGCUCAACUGCGGCUGCAUUUAUAUGCUGAACAUUGCAGAAGCGGAAACCCACGUGUUUCAAAUGGGACAGUAGGACAUUUAGGAGUUCCUGUCGUGGCUCAGGGGUUAACGAAUCCGACUAGGAACCAUGAGGUUGCGGGUUUGAUCCGGGGCCUUUCUCAGUGGGUUAAGGAUCUGGCAUUGCCAUGAGCUGUGGUGUAGGUCACAGGCGCAGCUCGGAUCCCGCGUUGCUGUGGCUGUGGUAGAGGCCGGUGGCUACAGCUCUGAUUAGACCCCUAGCUUGGGAACUUCCAUAUGCCGCAGGUGUGGCCCUAGAAAUGACAAAAAGACAAAAAAAAGAAACAAAAUAGGACAUAGGACAUUUAGAUGUCAUUUUUCAGAAGAUGAAGACAGCAUUAGUGUAAUGGAGUGGCAGGCAGCAGGAAGCUUCCAUGGUCAGCAGAGCCUUCUCCUGUCACGGGGGGUCCCCUUCUUCAGGGCACCACCACCCUUUCUUUAUCCCAGCAGCCCUGGGGACAUCUGCAAGGCAGUGCAAACCAGCCUGCCAACUCUCUUGCCAGCAUUCUGACCGCAAGGUUAGGGGAGAGAAAUGUACUUAGUAGGAAAUCACAUAUAACAAACUCUAAGGCAAGAAAAGAAGUGCAAAAGCUACUAGGAGUGCCCACUGUGGCUCAGUGGGUUUUGAACCAAGUAUCCAUGAGGAUAUGGGUUUAAUCCCUGGCCUCGCUCAGCAGGUUACGUAUCUGGCAUUGCUGUGGCUGUGGUGUAGGCCAGGAGCUGUAGCUCUGAUUCAACUCCAGCCUGGGAACCUCCAUAGGCCGUGGGUGCGGCCCUAAAAAGACGAAAAGAAGAUGAAGUUCCAAAGCCAAAUUUGCCUCUGCAGCCUAAGCUGCAUUCUUCAAAUAUUCUUCCCUUCACUCACAGUGGCUGACACGGGAGGCCGUGUUGUCCAGGCAUCUUCCAACUGGCUUCUGUCCCACACUUGCUCCAGCUGUACUAUAAACUCUUUCUUCGUGCCUGAGAUUUUAAUUUUUGUGUGUGUUCUUUUUUCCAUUGCCUUUUAUAGUCUUCCAUGGACAUAUGUUUCAAUGUUUUUAUUUUUUUUAAUGUAUUUAUUUUUGUCUUUUUAGGGCCACAGAAACACCGGAUCCACAACCCACUGAGCAGGGCCAGGGAUCGAACCUGCAUCGUCAUGGACACUAGUCGGCCUCAUUACCACCAAGCCACAAAGGGAACUCCAUAUAGUUGAGUGUUUUCAAAUGUAGGUAUGAUCGAAGUCUGCUGAGGCCAGGGGAUGACUGCCAUUGAAAAAUCGCUCAGUUCUCAAGGGAAGAGGGGCAGGAGGGGCACAGGGAGAAGCACUGGGUCUGCCAGGAGGCAGAGAGAGCAGGGGAAGUGUGAGCAAAGCCGUUAUUGUGGUUUCUGUGGGAAGGAAUGGGUGAGGCAGGUGAAUCAGCAGGCUCUGGGACACACGGGCUGUCCCUAGCUGCCUAGUACCUAGAUGUCUUAGUUCAGGCUGCUCUGAAAGAACUCCAUACACUGGGUGGCUUCAACAACAAACGUUUCUCUGGAGGCUAAAAGUCUGAGAUGAGGGCCCCAGCACAGCCGGGUUCUGAGACCAGAACUUCUCACGUGACGUCCUCCCGUGAGAGGAGGAGGCGCUGGCUCUCUGGGGUCCUUCUGAAGGCACUCAGGCCAUUCAUGAGGACUCUGCCCCCCUCACCUAACUCCCUGGCAAAAACCCCGCAAAUACUAUCACAUUGGGAUUCGAAUUCCAACCUAUAAAUUUGGGAGGGAAACAGACAGCCUACCGCACUGGCUGUGGGGUAAUGAGAGGAGGGGCUGAGGGCCCAGAGGGUGGGGCGGUCGGGGUGUGGGCUCCUGACUGGUUGGUUUGCAUGUGAAAGGCAUGCUGGUGGGAAAGUCCUUUAUAUCUCUAGGAAUUAGCUAGUCCUGGUAGGGGCAGGCUCUCCAGGAUCAGUAUGGCCCCAUGAGGUCGCCAGAAUAAAAAGACCUCAUUGCUAUACUCUUCUUAGGACUGCGACACUCAAAUUCUUGAUGGAACGGAAAGAUCUGAAAGGCAGUUCUUUGGUUUAUUUGACACCAUUUCCCUUUCUCCGGUGCCCUUCUCUGAUCACAAAAUUCAUUCUCUUUCAGAGAGUCUCUUUUCAACCAACUCAUGCUCUCCACCUCUAUGUCAUCUCUUGUUUGAAUGUCUCAUGUACCUCUGUUUACGAUUGUUUUUAGGGACCCUUUUUAAUGGAGUUGCCUCUCCUCAGAUUGAGGGCAGAAGCCACGACUGGUUGAUUUUGGUAACGCCAACGCUCUUCACUUGCCUACAGUCAGGCCUCAAUCUGUGUCUGCUAAAAUAAAUAUUCAGUGACAUGUCAGGCCAAGUUCUCUUUUCAUCAAUGCUCAAGCUUUAAUACUGAAAAUAAAAUCUUUUGGAAAAACACCUCACUCAAGAUUGGUGAGCAGAGUAUGAGGCCAAAUCUGUAGGAGAUUAUAGAUUGGACUGACGUUGAAGAAUGAUCAUUAUGAUAGCUUACUGGGUACGCUGAUGGUGUUUGGGCCAGACAUUUUUAGAAUGUACAAAUUCAGCGCUCAAGUAGUCUUACCUCUCCAGCAGGUCCCCAAAGUAAAUACACGCAUAGAAAAAUGACAGGCAAAGUUGGGCAACAUCUUGUUUUCAGCUGGGAUUUCAGCCCCUUAACUACAAUGUGCCUCUAUAAGCUGGACCAGAUCCUGACUCAGUGAGCUCUGCUUAGAAUCACAGCAGACAGAGGCCUGACGUCAUUUGUUCUUUUUCCCCGAACAUAAACCUUCAGACGUAUCACUCUAAAGAGAGGAACGGCCUAUCCAAAUUUCCAGAGAGAGCCAGAGAGCAGGCAAGAACCCUGGCCAAUAUGUGAACAAUUGCUGGCUACAGUUUUCAGCCUCACGCUUUCUUAAGCCAGCCAGGGGUCCACCCUAUGGGGGAAGAAAGAACAUCUAAAAUUGAUAGCAAGAGAGGGGUCAAUUCAGAUGGAGUUGAACCAGAUUCAAAGCCAUCUUCUACCAUGCAAUGCCUCCAGCCAUCCCACCCACCGCCAUGUUGGCCAACGAAGUAUAACAAAAUGUGAACUAUGACAGCAACACCUCCUUUCGAGGGUAAAAUUAUCUCUACCCACCCCCACCCCAGGAAAGCAAAGAGAGAGCCUUGCGUUCUUUUUUCUAGAAGUCCAGGGCCCAGUGCUCCUUCCAGCUCACCCCAUCAAGCCCCACCACAUGGCCUCAGGUUGUGAGUUUUAAUUUCGCUUCAGCCAUAACUUCACCCUGCACUCAGAUUACCUUUCUUUCAAUCAAUUCCUUCUGUUGAUCAAAACAGGUGACAGCGUUAAGGUUUCCAUCUCCACAGAGAAUGGAAAGUGUGUGUAGAAAAGCUGAUUGUAAAAUCAGCCAUAAUGCAUACAACAUGGCAUUGAAAUUCUUAAGCAACUACUCACUCUGUCAGACAGAAAAUGGGUCUUAGAUCUUGAAAGUUAAAGUCUACUCUAGCCUCUGUGUUUGGAUCCACACUUGAUGUAAAAACACACCUGUCCUUAAUUCCUAAAGGCCCUAGAAAGAUAGAUGGGUCUUAAGAGCACUACUGCUGUUUUUUUUCUGCGAAGCUAAAUUUUGCUCAUUUCCUUUAAAGCUUCCUGCCCCUCUUUCCAGUGCUUGUUCUACUAGACGUCUCCAGAAAAGACUUUUGACUCACUCCAUCAGUCUCAGUUCAUCGAGCAGUAAUGACCUCCUCCCUCCGACUGUUGUCUUGUCUCCUCUUAUGAAUCGGAAGUCGUAAUACUGAUGUAUACGGGUACUUUUAUCCCAGUGUAGAAAAUUGAGCAGCUGAUUCCAUGGCUUGGUCCUGUGUACGUAGCCCCAUGCAAUGUAGGUCCCUUUUUAUUUGCUUUUAGAGUAGGUGCUUCUUGAGACAGGGAUAAUUUCUGCAACUUUGUUUUGCAAUUACCUGGCCAAGAGCAGUUCUCAGCACAGGAUGAGCACACAUUACCUGACUCACGGUAACAAGGUAAAUGAAGAUGCACUUCUGGCUGGUCAAAGACAAAACAAACAUUCUGUUCCCUUCUCUGCUUUUUCUAGCUAUUGAAACCCUGGUUCCUUAAGUUAUUUUUCCCAAGUUGUAAUAGUUAUUUUCUAGGAAUCUUCCCUUAGGCAAUAUAUUUCACAGCUUACAUACUUUCUUCAGAUGUUGAAAAUUAUUAGACAUGUAAAAACAUAUAUGACCUUGAUCUGGUUAAAAAGCUUACUAUAAAAAGAAACCAUUUAUUCUACCCAAUACAAAUGCAUAUUAAUUUUGUAUUAUGUGCAAAUAUUUAGGUAGGGGUCUAGGUACACAUACAUCCAUUAGGCAGCCAAAUACCUAAAUUAAAAACGGCAAGCUGAAAAAAAUUCUGGGUGCAAAGGUGUGAUUGCUUUGAAAAUAGCCAAUUAGAAAAGAGUUCAGCCUUUAAUUGGCCAAGUUAAAUAAGGCACAAUUACUACUAACUUGGUCCCCAAAGAUUGGCUCUAAUCGUGUCAUGUUUAACUUGGCUGCUUAAACUGCAAAUGCUCUUCUCCUCUUCCGACUUGGUUCAUUUGCCUAAUAGAAUGCCUUUCUAUGGAUGACUUUUUUCUUUCCUGACUUAGCCCAUAGUGGAAACUCUAUGGAUUAGGAAAUACUGUACCUAUUGCUUCCCCUCCCCCCCAGAGAAACACAACAUGUAUGUGUGGUGGUUGUUCUCUUUUAGUUUCUGAUACAAGUUUAUGGGUGCAUGGUUGUAAAAAGGUCAAAGGUUCAUCAUAAAACCCGUAUGUGUAUGGCAAAGCUCCUUAUAAACAUGCUGUCUCAAAACAGUCUUGCAGAUUUUUAUGUUGCUUUAGACUACAUGUGAGGAAGAAGAAUGUUCUUUAUGUACUAACUUUAGCCUCCUCUGUACUGAGAGAUGAGUAGGUUAACUUGUACAUUUAAUGUUCAAUUAGCUGGCUCAAGGAUUUCACACAGAUCCAUGAGGGCACAGGGAAGGGUGGUUAAAUAUUUAUCUCAAUUUCUGUCUAAGAGCAUCAGAAUUCAGAGAAGGCCAAUUUCUUUGUUCAGGAUGGUCAGCUUCAUGCAUAUUAGAUUAAAAGGGCACCUCACUUCACAUGCAAUAGUGUGGAAUGCAUCAACCUAAAAAAAACCCAGGAAACCUGUCUCUCUGGUAGAGAAACAUAGACAUGCAUGUGCAAGAAGCUUUCAUUCAUUUACUUAAAAACAGGAAACAUUUCAGGAGUGCUGACAAUGUGCUUGGUUCUAUACUAAGCAAUAGACAGGCAGAAAUUGGUAAGACACAAUUGUCGCCUUUCAGAAGCCUACAUGUAUUUACUGCAGCCAAAAAAAAGAAGAAGAAGAAGCCUAUGCGUUUUUAUUUGGGUCAUUUGCAAGUGAGCAAAUCAGGAACAAAAUGGCUUCAGAUUAAUUCAUAACAUUGUUUCGUUUGUCUUCAGCAUCUCUGUCUUGAUUGAUUGAUUGAUUUCUUUGGCCAUGCCCACAGAAUGCAGAAGUUCCUGGGCAAGGAAUGAAAACUGCACCACAGCAGUGACAAUGCCAGAUCCUUGACCACCAGGCCACGAAGGCGCUCCCAGCACGGCUGUCCUGCAUGUCACACCCAUUUCUCCCCACUCAAUACCAUCCCCCAUCCCGCCUCGGCUCUCAUAGGCUCAACAGGAACUCUUAGGGGAGAGCUGGUGACUCUAUCUUGUUUUAAUCAUCUAAUAAGAACUCUCUGUAUCAUCUCUCCCAUGGUUGUUUACCUUGCAGCAAAACCAGCAAAACCAUAUGCUUAUGAAAAAGAGAUAAUUUUCAGAUACCUUCAUGUACGAAAUUUACUUAAGAAUAAGCUCCACACACCAAAGCAUUUUUAAUCUGAAUUUGCAGCUUAAAUCGUAACACUUUCCACAUUCACUAUUCCACCAAGUUAGGACGUGCUUUCAAGCCAAAUAGUUUGGGGGGGGGGUGGAAGGGUGGAGGGGGGAUGCCCAUAAAAUCCCUGCCCAGACCACCGAUGGGCACCAGCAUGGUCCAGUCUGCACAUUUAUUAUCAGAAGCAAUAUCCUGAGGUGGCUUUAUCUGAUGUGUUCCUUCGGAAGGGGCCAGGCUUAUGGCCUCAACUAAUAAAUUCUCUGCAUCAACAUACUGCUCUAUCGUAGAGUUUUAAUUUUCAGUGAAACAUAAACAGUAAAAUGAAUCUGUAUAUGUGAACUCAUACACAAGCAAGAAACAGACCCAUAGACAUAGAAAAUGAACUGAUGGUUACCAAAGGGGAAAAGUCGGGGUGGCGGGGGCGGGGGUAGCGGUAAACCAGGAGUUUGGGAUUAACAUCUAUACACCGCUACAUAUAAAACAGACAAUCAACAAGGACCUACUACAGCACAAGGACCUCUACUCACUAUUUUGUAAUAACCUAUAAAGGAAAAGAAUCUGAAAAAAAAAAUAGGUAUAUACCCAUGUAUAACUAUCACUUUGCUGUACACCUGAAACUGACACAACAUUGUAAAUGAACUAUACAAUAAAGAUAAUAACAUUUUGAAAAAGAAUCUGUCUAUAAAAUAUCUGUUAGCCUUGUUGAUCACUCAACACACAAGCAAGCGAAUAAACAAAAACCCACCACUACAUAGUGUAACCGAGCAUGUGAACUAAAAAUCCCAACGUUACAGAAAUCACAGUAAUACAGAUGAUACCAUAAAGAAUAACGUACAGUUGAAACAGAAUGGUUUCUCCUGGGAUUCAGGAGAAGGUAUCUGUGGAACAUGUUGAUGUGACAGGAAUGCCUGUCACUACAGACAUUUUUUUAUUUUUAUUUUUUUUAUUUAUUUAUUUUUUGUCUUUUUUUGCUAUUUCUUUGGGCCGCUCCCGCGGCAUAUGGAGGUUCCCAGGCUAGGGGUCGAAUCGGAGCUGUAGUCUCCGGCCUACGCCAGAGCCACAGCAACGCGGGAUCCGAGCCACGUCUGCAACCUACACCACAGCUCACGGCAACGCCGGAUCGUUAACCCACUGAGCAGGGGCAGGGACUGAACCCGCAACCUCAUGGUUCCUAGUCAGAUUCGUUAACCACUGCGCCACAACGGGAACGCCCUGUUUUUUUUUUUUAAACAAAAUCUUACCGGAAGGCCAAGAGGUAAGUAGAUAAAGAAGGAGGUAAUCUUGCUGAAGUUAGAGGCUGCCCAGCCCCCCUCACAUACACCCACACAUGAGCAACACAUGUGCGUACGUGUGCAUACACUCACGUGAGCACCCAUUUGCACCGUGACCCUUGAAAAGGCUUCACAGAACACAGAACAUCUCUGCUUAGCUUUACCCUGACACAGCCUGAAGCAAUAUAGUCAGGCUUGGCUUGGUGCCUAAACUGUAAAUUUGUAAUUAGUUCCAGAAAAGAAAAAAAAAAAAAAAAAAAAAAA
rnacentral:lncRNA from 1 species